rnacentral:rRNA from 1 species
UGGGGAAUAUUGGACAAUGGGCGAAAGCCUGAUCCAGCCAUGCCGCGUGUGUGAAGAAGGUCUUCGGAUUGUAAAGCACUUUAAGUUGGGAGGAAGGGCAUUAACCUAAUACGUUAGUGUUUUGACGUUACCGACAGAAUAAGCACCGGCUAACUCUGUGCCAGCAGCCGCGGUAAUACAGAGGGUGCAAGCGUUAAUCGGAAUUACUGGGCGUAAAGCGCGCGUAGGUGGUUUGUUAAGUUGGAUGUGAAAUCCCCGGGCUCAACCUGGGAACUGCAUUCAAAACUGACUGACUAGAGUAUGGUAGAGGGUGGUGGAAUUUCCUGUGUAGCGGUGAAAUGCGUAGAUAUAGGAAGGAACACCAGUGGCGAAGGCGACCACCUGGACUAAUACUGACACUGAGGUGCGAAAGCGUGGGGAGCAAACG